ensembl:lncRNA
GGCUGGCCCGCAGCCAGGCUGCGUUCCCAUGCUGCUCUGCCCGUUCCUGCCCAGCAGCUCCUCCAGAACGCUCCUCACAGGAUUGCUGCAGCCUGGGAGGGCAGAGCUGCUCCUCUGGGCGCUCUGCUCUGCGGAGGCCGUGUCCUCUCAGACCUGCUGCACUCUGAAUAUAAACCCCCCUUUGUUGGGCACAGGGUGACUUGGCUGAGCCACAUGAUCAGUCAGGUGACAAAAUUGGGCACCAAAGCGGAGCAGAAUGAGCAGCUGGGUGAGGGCAGGAGCUGCUGAUCUCGCCUCUUGACAGGCUGUGUUACUCCUCAGGGAAAAAUGAGUGCCUGGCUCUGUCCUCUGCUGUGCAGCUUAACCAUGGUGUGCUUAACAGGUAUUGCUUUAGGCCAGACAACCAGCACUGGGGUUCCCAUUGGAUCUACUCCAGCACCUCCCAGUGCAACCAGCACUGGGGUUCCCAGUACAACCAGCACUGGGGUUCCCAUUGGAUCCACCCCAGCACCUCCCAGUGCAGCCCCUGCUCCAGCCUCUGCUCCCCCAGCUGCUGCUGCAACACUCUCAGCUGGACUGACAGCAACCACUGCAAGCCCUGCUGCAUCCACAGCAGAUCCAUCUGCUGAUCCAAGCACAAAAACCCCUGCCCAGACUCUGCCCUCCACCACGGGGACUGUGCCCACCUCUCCGACUUCAGCACUGGCAGCCACAUCCAGCAGUGUCCCAGCGUCCCCUGCAGGAGUGACCCCAUCCCCUGGGCUCCCAUCCUCAGCUCUGCCCCCCAGCACCCCCCAGCCCUCCAACUGCAGCACAGAGAACGUGACAGCCUGUGUCCCCUGCCCCCCAGGGACAGCCCCCACGCAAGGCAUCCUGAGCUGCUCGUGCUGCCCGGGGGGAGCGUGCAGCGAGCCCGGUGCCUGCAGCCCCUGUGCCCCAGGGCAGCACCAGCCCCAGGGGGGGCAGCGCUCCUGCCUGCCCUGCCCUCAGGGCUCCUACACCAGCCUCCCAAGGAGCUCUGUGUGCCUUCCCUGCCCACCAGGACAUUUUGCAAAUGAGUCUGGGGCUGCAGCCUGCAGGGCCUGUGAGCGAGGCUAUUAUAGCUCCAAGCAAAAUGCAGCUUUUUGUCUGCCUUGCCAGCCAGGAUCAUUCUGCAACACCAGCGGCUGCUCCGGCUGCCGGCCCUGCCCUGGGGGACAGGAGGCGCCUCGGGAGGCGGCAGAGACGUGUGAGACCUGCCUGGCAGGUACAUUCAAAGGUGCCAAUGACAGCAGAUGCAAGGCCUGCAGGACAGGGGAGUACCAACUACAGCGGGGCAAGGAGAGCUGUGAGCUGUGCCCAGAAAAUCACUACUGCCCUAGCCCGGAUGUGAAGCCAGUGAAGUGCCCCCCUGAUGCCUUCUGCCCGCGGGGCAGCGCGGAGCCCACCUACUGCAUGGAGCUGUUCCUGUACAAGGCAGGGGACUCCUGCCAGCUGACCCCUGCCACCGUCAUUGUCCUGGCCACCUUCUCAGCAGGUGGAAUCCUUGUUGUGUUUCUGAUCAUCCUGAGGAGCCGACAGGAGCACGGCAGGAGCUCCCUGAAGUCGCCGCUGCUGCCCCGGGGCUCAGGGCUGGGCUCCUACGGGGGCACGGAGCACACGGAGCCCGUCUAUGCGGGCUGGUAG